GAUGAACGCUGGCGGCGUGCCUAAUACAUGCAAGUCGAGCGAACAGACGAGGAGCUUGCUCCUCUGACGUUAGCGGCGGACGGGUGAGUAACACGUGGAUAACCUACCUAUAAGACUGGGAUAACUUCGGGAAACCGGAGCUAAUACCGGAUAAUAUAUUGAACCGCAUGGUUCAAUAGUGAAAGACGGUUUUGCUGUCACUUAUAGAUGGAUCCGCGCCGGAUUAGCUAGUUGGUAAGGUAACGGCUUACCAAGGCAACGAUGCGUAGCCGACCUGAGAGGGUGAUCGGCCACACUGGAACUGAGACACGGUCCAGACUCCUACGGGAGGCAGCAGUAGGGAAUCUUCGGCAAUGGGCGAAAGCCUGACGGAGCAACGCCGCGUGAGUGAUGAAGGUCUUCGGAUCGUAAAACUCUGUUAUUAGGGAAGAACAAAUGUGUAAGUAACUAUGCACGUCUUGACGGUACCUAAUCAGAAAGCCACGGCUAACUACGUG
rnacentral:rRNA from 1 species